UCGGCGUUACGUCAUUUGAGAAAACAUCGAUUAAAGUUACAUCACAAAAAAAUGAUGGACGUUACCACGUGUUCGCGGCAAUUAAUGCAUUUCUUGCUUUCAAUAAUACUCUACCUUGCCACAAGAAAAAAAAAAUGAAGUGACAUUUAUAAACAUUUCCGUGUUUUGCAAUUCCGUUUCUUUAAAAAAUUUAAAUGAUUGAUAAUUUAUCGCCCUUUGAAUCGACACGCCAUUUGUAAACAUCGAAGGUCGCGGAGAAAAUGAAACUACCAAAAACAAUUAUUUGAUGAUUUAUUUCGAUUGUAUUUAUAAAUGACAGUUAGCGAAUCUCAAGGUAAGUAAGUAUUUAAGCGAUAUGUAGUGUUAAAAGUAUUAUUUGAGUUCAUAUCGACAGUUUUGUCCGAUGUCUUUUCCAAAAAUAGCCCGGAUUUGACACUAAUCAUGACAGAAUCGAGGUAGAUUUAGCGCAGUUCACAUUUUAUUUACAAGUGUCAAUAUAAUGUAGACUAUAUUUUAUUUACUAAAUCUGCCAUGAAUUCAACUUUUUUAAAAUCGGUUUUGACUCUUAUUCAGUAGAAUCUGUAUGCAAGACAAUUACAAGAAGUAUUCAGUAGAAUCAGUAUGCAAGACAAUUACAUAAACACUGAUAAAGACCUUGUGACUCUGGUGCCAGACAAAAUUACAACAGUCAGUCAUAAUGUUUAGAUACAUACUAAAGUUAAAGCCCUGAUCAUUUUAUAAAUAUAGCCAUGCCAUGAAAGUGACUGAUUAGGAAUAGUUGUAACACAUCUAUUGUCAGCUUCAACCACUAACUCUUACAUGUAAUUCAAAUCAGUCCAUACUUAAAACUUCUACAAGGCAUAAGUAUUGUUUUUACUUGGAAAGAGACAGUGUUUUCCAAAGCUUUUCAAGUUAAUUUUGCAUACUGUUCACUUGGCCAUUAUUUCUGGAUUCCUCACCAUUUUGUACUGUUCUUGGCAAGUGACUAAAAACCACUUAGUAAAAUAAAUAAACUUUAGAUAUAUGUUGUUUUGAAUGCCUUGCCAGGAAUUCAAACCUAUUACUCUUUUAUAGAAGUCUUUGUGCUAAAUAUGUACUGAACUAACUGCCCAGGGCAUUUUUAUCUCACAUUUCAGCCUUUUUCUGUAUUUUUUUCAUUUUACAGAUCAAACACUGAGGAUUGUUUGGCUUGAUGCAAUGACCUUAAACAGUGAAAUGAUUUUCCAGGAAGGUCUAUACACAACAAUUUAAGCUGGAUUUUAUUGGGUGAUGAAAGAACUAUGAAUAUGUAAAUGGGAAUGAAACAGAAGGAAUUAAUAUGUUCUACUGAUCAUCCAGCUGAAAUCAUGCCUGUGGAAUAGAGUGCAUGUCACAAAUACUGAUAUGAGCAAAUAACUCCAUAUUGCACAAAUAAUGUCAUGUUUCCUGCCCUCAUGACCUGAAAAAGUUAAACAUUCUAGUUCAAAUUACAAAUGUGUUUCAAGAAAAAGUAAAACUUAGUCAACUGUGAGAAAUAUUGGGUAAAAAUAGUGUUUUGAUGUCAUGACAGCUGUGAAGUUGUAUGAGAAGCACUAUCCUAAUUGUUCUAACAAUACAGAAUUUAACUAAUAAAUUUUCCAAAAUUGCAUUCAUGAAAUACUAAGACAUGUCUGUUGAAUGAAUCCUAGUUGUUUCAAAACUACAAUAUGUGUGACAUUAAAGCACAACCUUUGGAGGAAACAUUUUUACAAUACAAACUGCCUUGCCAGUGUGAGUGUAGAAAGGAUUUUCCAGCAAUGGCAGAAAACUACCAAUAUAGCAGAAAAUAUUUCUUACUGGCUGAAUAUAAUAUAUCUCAUUUCAAGAAUUAAUCAUGUUAAUCCAUGGUUAUAAUUGUGUUAAAAGGUAUUUUUACAUGACAUGACCUUUGCAGAAAUAGCUAAUUGUUUUGCAAAACAUUGUGAGUUGCCAUGGUAACACAAAUUUGACUUAAAUUUAGAAUCGUUUGAUGAUGUAAACAGCAUGUGUCUUGUUUAUAUUCUGCUAAUCAGACUAUGUUCUGCAUGAAAAUAUCUUUUAUGUGUAACCAUCAACAAAACAUGUUAUAACACAAAUCUGCCAUAAAAUGGCAGAGCUGUAAUGCAGGUAGGCAUAUCAGGAAAAUAUGUAGUUCUGGAAGACAAGUUAUAUUACAUAAAAUGAUGUUUGUUUUUUAUAAAUGAUCAUAAUUGACCAUUUGUGGUGUUAAACAAAUGUAUACUGAACAGAUGCUAAAUAAAUGUUCUGAUUCUUUCUGGAAAAUUUACAAAAAAACUACUAUUUUAAGAAAAUAUUGCAUUGUUGCCAUGGUAACAUUAAUUUAACUUUUAAAUUAUUUUGGAUAUCAUCAUAUGUUAACAACAUCUUUCUUGUUUAUAUGUUAUAUAUGUUAAGCUGUAUUAUGUUAGUGAAUAUAUUUUCAUAUGUAAUAAUUGCAUCAACAAAGCACUAUGUUAUUACACAAGCCUGCCUUAAAAUGGCAAUAGUUGUAACUGAGAGAGGUAUAUCUGAAAAUUAUUUAUUUCUCAAACCAUAUUACAUUAACUUUCACGGAAUGAUGUCUACUCUCCUACUUUUAAAUAAGAAAACAGACAGCUUUUGAUGUAAAUAUAUGGAAAAACACUUCCAAUAUUCAAUUUAUUACAAAGAAAUUGCCAAAAUGUUAGUAUUUUUGUAAGAAAAUACCACAUUGUUGCCAUAGUAAUGUUAGUAUUUUUGUAAGAAAAUACCACAUCGUUGCCAUGGUAAUGAUUCACUGAUCAGUAUAUCUAAGUCUUUUGAAGUUUUAGCAAACUCACAGUUGAUAAUAACAGUCUAAUAAUUAUAUCUUCUUGCCUGAUUUUCUUUCUUACUGUUUAAUAGAUAAGGUGUCUAUAAUAAUAAGAUUAAUGGCCUAGUUUUUGGGAUGUUGUCUAAUUUGAUAUCAAAUACAUUCUGUAUCUUGUUCAAAAGAAUGUCAUAAAGCAGUUGUCUGUAAACUGUUAGCACACUAGAAAAAGUUAAUUGUGUAUUUAUUUCACAUUCUAUGUAAUUUAUUGCUAGAUUCAUCAAGAGACUGUUUAAAAAGAGGUUAAACAACAGUGUUGCUAUAGAAACGAUUUUUAGAACAUAAAUAUUUUUAUACUACAUGAAAGAAAGAGACAGAAAGAAAUACAUUCCAUUAAUUGCA